GAUGAACGCUGGCGGCGUGCCUAAUACAUGCAAGUCGAGCGAACAGACGAGGAGCUUGCUCCUCUGACGUUAGCGGCGGACGGGUGAGUAACACGUGGAUAACCUACCUAUAAGACUGGGAUAACUUCGGGAAACCGGAGCUAAUACCGGAUAAUAUAUUGAACCGCAUGGUUCAAUAGUGAAAGACGGUUUUGCUGUCACUUAUAGAUGAAUCCGCGCCGCAUUAGCUAGUUGGUAAGGUAACGGCUUACCAAGGCGACGAUGCGUAGCCGACCUGAGAGGGUGAUCGGCCACACUGGAACUGAGACACGGUCCAGACUCCUACGGGAGGCAGCAGUAGGGAAUCUUCCGCAAUGGGCGAAAGCCUGACGGAGCAACGCCGCGUGAGUGAUGAAGGUCUUCGGAUCGUAAAACUCUGUUAUUAGGGAAGAACAAAUGUGUAAGUAACUAUGCACGUCUUGACGGUACCUAAUCAGAAAGCCACGGCUAACUACGUG
rnacentral:rRNA from 1 species